CAUUCAAGGUGAUUAACUUCUGGAAUGAAUGAAACAAAUAUUUAUUUUUUUAUUUAUUUUUAUUUAUAAGCUCUUGAAGACUAAUUUUUAAACCUCUCAAUAUUUCUUACUAUAUGUUUCUUGGGUUAUUAGAUCACGAGUUGAUAAAUUGAAACAGUAGAGAGUAAAUUAGGUGAGUAUUAUGGAAUACGGUCAUAAACUACUUACCAAACAAAUCAGAGUUGUGCAGCGGAAGCAUGUUGGUGGAAAGGAGAUUCUGAUAUGCUGCAAUGAUUAUAGUUAAAGCAGGGUGUCAAAUAAAACUAGAAGUGUGUGAAGUGCUACUCCCAAAACCUCCAUACAUCAUUGUUCAAGACAUAAUUUAAGUUCGGUACCUUUAAUUUUAUGUUCAAUUCCUUGCGUGUUUUGUUUGAAAGUAAUGUUGCAACCUUAUAUAAGUUCUUGUUAGGGGUGGUCUUACAGAUGUCACAAGAGUGAGAACCUUGAGUAUACUGUUUUAAUGAUUGUAAGAUGUGAAAGUAUGGUUCCAAAUGCCUAAAGUAAUAGACCAUUGAACUAAAAGAGAUGUGAUUCUAAGGUUUAUUGUUGAAUUUUAGUUAGUUACAGCAAUAAUGCUAAUGGAAUUGUGCCAACAGUAGACCAUUUUACAUAUAAGCAACAGUAGAAACUUUAAACCAUCCGUAGAUCAUUAUGUUAAGAUUUAUUUAAACGAGAUCCUUUCUUUACAUGGUAUGCCAAUCUCUACUAUAUCUAACAACAUAGCUUGCUCAGUUGCCUGCUCCGUUUUAGAUGUCUAUCAGAAAUAGGAACCCAUUUGAAUCUUAGUGAAAUCACUAUCCUGAAAUUGAUGGCUAAUCUGUCAAAACUUUACAAAACAUAGAGGAUAUGUUCUGUUCUUGCGUUUUUAAUAUUGGAGGAAGAUGACCAAUGUUUUUCUAUGAUAGAAUUGUCAUAUAAGUAGUUACCAAUCUGGUAUUAAAGUAACUUUUGCGGCAUUGUGUAUAGAUGAUGUAUGUUUUCGGUAGGAUGGUUUGAAGUUGGCUAGUCUAAACUAGUGCGCCUAGAGUUGAUCCAAGAUAUCAUUGAAAAGGUUAAGAUCAUCUAAGAGUGUUUAAUGACAACUCGAAGUAGGAAAAAUUUUACUAUAAUCAGAGGUGUCACCCUUAGGGUUCAAUGUGGGAGAGCAUGUAUUCCUACAAGUUUCGCCAAUGUAGCGUGUAUUGUGGUUUGACAAAAAUGGGAAAAUUUGUUCAAAGUUCAUUGGAAUGUUAGAGUUUUGGUAGUGAUUCGAAACUUCUAGCUUAUCACUUUGGCCCUUCGACCAUAUCUUUUGACAGUUCGUACGGUCUUUUAUAUUUCUAUGCUCCGGAAAUACCUUUAUAAUCCUUUCAUGUGAUUAGUCAUGAUUAGAUGAGAACUUGUCAUACACCGAACACCCGAUAACAUUAGUAGAUAAGGAAGUUACACAAUUACGUUCAAAGGAUAUUGCUUCAGUGAAGGUCCUUUGGAAAGGAUCGUCGGCUGAAGAAUCAACUUGGGAGUCGGAAGAGAUCAUGCGAGCAGAGUAUCCACACUUAUUUGAAAAUCAAGGUUAGUAGUAUAAAUUCGAGGACGAAUUUCUUUAAGGAGGGAAGACUGAAACGCACCGUUUAAUAUUUAUUUAAAAAAAAACAUUAUAAAAUAAAAUGAAAAUCCCCUUUAAAAAAAAUAAUAGUAAUAAAUAAAUAAAAAAAUAGAUUAACACGAACCCACCGCCAUUGUUUUGUCUUACGUUUCCAUUUCUUCUUUCACUUUCCAUUUCUAAGCUUCAGUUUCAUCAACACCCCACUUUCAAUUUACUUCUUUCUUUCCUAUUUUCUUUUAAAUCAUCAAUUUUCUUCCACAAACAAAACACCCACAAGAAAAACUAUACAUCUAAGCUAAGCUAUUCAUAAUACAAGUGAGAUUUAGUGUUUUGGGGUUAGGGUUUGUGCUUUGAAGAAGAAGAAGAAGAAGAAUACCCAUUUUGUGAAAGUUGCUCAUUAAGAUUCUUUGAGAUAUUACGCUGGAAUCUUCACAUGCUUCUCUGGGAGUUGUUGGAGAGCAAAAUUAGUCGGUCUUCAUAGUUAUUCAAAGUCAACUGAAUAGAAAGCUUCUAGCAGAGUUAAAGAUCUGUCAAUGUCACUCUUUUGGUAGGCCUUCUUGAUGAAAAACUAUUUUGUAUAUGUAUAUUUGGAGUUGAUCGAGUAUCUGCAGCUAUUUUGAGUCUAGGAAUAUCUUGUUUUGAAAUGUAUAAAUUUAAACAUCUCAAAAGUCUAGCUGAUGAUGUAUCAUGUAAAACAGGAUUUAUUCUGAUUUGGAAACAUUGAAAAUACAGAUGAGACUUUGUCGAAAUUUCAGUAAAAUUGUUCUAAAGUAAAUAGUCAUUUGGAAAUAAUAUAUUUAUUGUUUGUUAAAUUCGGUCAUUAGGCUUGCCGGACUAGUAUUAGUCCGUGCGCCGGUCACGAUUGGAGUUGGGUCGUGACAAAGUUGGUAUCAGAGCUCGGUUGUAGGUCCAAAUAGCUGCAGACAUAGAGUGAUAAUAGAUUUUUGCUAGUAAAUUGUGAACCGCGGCACCAUUUACUUGCAAGAAGCUAUUAGUACUCUAUGGUAGUCUCUGUCUCACUUUUUUGUCGUCUUGUCUAAUAUUCGGUAAAUUUCCUUUCGUUUGGUGAGUAUGCCACCCAACACUAGGAUCACCACUAGAAGCGAAGUUUGUUCCUUAUGCAUUUACUUUCCAACCUUAAGACCCUUGUCAAAGAGGUCGUGAUUCAGUCGUACUCGUUGUCGACGAACGUGGCUUGGUUGCGGUAGUAGUUAGUGUUGAGGUUCCUAGAGAGAUUGAUGUUGAUAUAGAGAAAUUCGUGAUACUUAAACCCUUACCUUUUCUACGUCGAGUGUGCGUGAGGAUCCACUUAAAUUCAUUGACUAUCUAAAGAGGUUAUAAAAAGCGUUAGGAUGCUCAGAUAUAAGGGCAGUGAAGUUGACAUCAUUUAAGUUGGAGGAUUUGGUAUACGACUUGUUUGAUACACUUACCUGUACAAAUAGGAUCAUCGACGUUGGCAUGGAGUGAGAUCUCUUGAUUGUUUAUGACUCGUUUUCUUCUAGAAAGUUUUGGAGAUGGUUUAAAUUAUGACUAUGAGGGAUUUAAACAAACUGAGGUUAUGUCAAUUUCAAAGAACAAAACUCGUUUUGCAGAACUUUCAAGACACAACAAAUAUUAGUAUCACAAGAGAGAUAGUUCUAGUAGACAAAUUUUUUUACACAGUGUAGAGUCGUAGAUUAGAUUAUGGGGCAUAUAAAUAAUUCACUUUUCCUUAGAAUAAUUUUGACUCUAAAGGUUGAUUUCAAUCUGAAAUUUUUUUUUUUCAAAGAGGGUAAAAUGUACUUUCAAUGUGGUGGAGUAUGCAAUAACAGGAGGGGUCGUCCUUGGCAGCUAUGACACAAUUAUUAUCUAGUCAUGAAUUAACACUAGUAGCUUUAGUAUAGAUUAUGACAGGAUGUUGUGUAUGAAUUGGAUGUUCUUCCAUCAUAUCACCUUAGUCUAUUAUAACAAGGGAGUGAGAAUUGAGAUAUUCGGUAAUCGCUUUUAUCCUUUGCGAGUAGAGCGUGAUUUUGUACCAUAUAAUUUAACCUCUUGUUUAGGAUCUAACAAGUUAUUAAAAAGGGAGUUAUUAUGGAUAAUUAUUCUUGAUUAUGGAAAUACAAGUGAGUGAAGAAAAAACAUUAAAUAGUUCCAAAAACGUGAGUUUCCUAAUGUUUUUCCUGAAGAAUUUCUUAGAUUGCCUCAUGAUAAGAAUAUUAAGAUCUCUAUAAACUUGAUUCCUAACACUCAACGACAUCCAUACCUCUUAAUCAAAUAGUUAGCAUAACUUUAAGUGUUAAGGGAGAAGCUAUAUGAUUUUCUCAAUAAGAUAUUUAUUAGUCCAACUUCUUUUCCUUGGGAAGCUGUGGUAUUGUUUAUAGGGAAGAAAGAUGAAUCGUACCCAUGUGAUAUUGUGUGGUAGAGAAUCGAAUAGUAGGGUAGUAACGAGUGAAUAUUGUUUACUUUGAAUUGACGAGUUGUUUGAUAACUUCAAGAAGCUAAGUGUUUUGUCUAGGAUUGAUUUGCGGUCUAGGCAUCACCAAUUAAAGGUUGAGAGGGGUCUUAUUUCAAUGAAAACUCUUUGCACAUACUUGAGCAUUAUAUAAUUCUGGUUAUGUCUUUUGAGUUUACUAAUGCUCUAAGAUCUUUAUGGAUAUUUGAUAGAGUUAGGAUAAUGGUCAUAAACCUGGGAGUUUUCAAAUCAAGAUUGUACUGAAGACCUACUAGGAUUGAAAAAUUUCUUUUCAAGUCUCAAAAUCCUACCUUUUGUUAUGAGUCACCAAAAUAAAAUAAAAUAAAAAUUACUUAUAUGUGAAAUUCCUAAGCAAUAGAAACAGGCGGAAAACCACCUAUUAACUCUACAUUGGUUAGUAGCUUCUAGGCUAUUGACAUAUUUAUCAGUAAAAAAUUUAGGCCUUGAUAACGAUAUUAUUAAACUUGAAAUUUAAUAUUCCUUGAUUUAGGAAUACAUUUGGAUUGAGUAUGUCUAGACUUGGUUGGUAGACUAUUAAGAUGUAAAUUAAAUAUGAAGUAGGUGGUUUAUAUAACAUAAAUACUAGUUAUAAUAGAAUGAUGCCCUGUGAUAGUCAUUCAAGGUGAUUAACUUCUGGAAUGAAUGAAACAAAUAUUUAUUUUUUUAUUUAUUUUUAUUUAUAAGCUCUUGAAGACUAAUUUUUAAACCUCUCAAUAUUUCUUACUAUAUGUUUCUUGGGUUAUUAGAUCACGAGUUGAUAAAUUGAAACAGUAGAGAGUAAAUUAGGUGAGUAUUAUGGAAUACGGUCAUAAACUACUUACCAAACAAAUCAGAGUUGUGCAGCGGAAGCAUGUUGGUGGAAAGGAGAUUCUGAUAUGCUGCAAUGAUUAUAGUUAAAGCAGGGUGUCAAAUAAAACUAGAAGUGUGUGAAGUGCUACUCCCAAAACCUCCAUACAUCAUUGUUCAAGACAUAAUUUAAGUUCGGUACCUUUAAUUUUAUGUUCAAUUCCUUGCGUGUUUUGUUUGAAAGUAAUGUUGCAACCUUAUAUAAGUUCUUGUUAGGGGUGGUCUUACAGAUGUCACAAGAGUGAGAACCUUGAGUAUACUGUUUUAAUGAUUGUAAGAUGUGAAAGUAUGGUUCCAAAUGCCUAAAGUAAUAGACCAUUGAACUAAAAGAGAUGUGAUUCUAAGGUUUAUUGUUGAAUUUUAGUUAGUUACAGCAAUAAUGCUAAUGGAAUUGUGCCAACAGUAGACCAUUUUACAUAUAAGCAACAGUAGAAACUUUAAACCAUCCGUAGAUCAUUAUGUUAAGAUUUAUUUAAACGAGAUCCUUUCUUUACAUGGUAUGCCAAUCUCUACUAUAUCUAACAACAUAGCUUGCUCAGUUGCCUGCUCCGUUUUAGAUGUCUAUCAGAAAUAGGAACCCAUUUGAAUCUUAGUGAAAUCACUAUCCUGAAAUUGAUGGCUAAUCUGUCAAAACUUUACAAAACAUAGAGGAUAUGUUCUGUUCUUGCGUUUUUAAUAUUGGAGGAAGAUGACCAAUGUUUUUCUAUGAUAGAAUUGUCAUAUAAGUAGUUACCAAUCUGGUAUUAAAGUAACUUUUGCGGCAUUGUGUAUAGAUGAUGUAUGUUUUCGGUAGGAUGGUUUGAAGUUGGCUAGUCUAAACUAGUGCGCCUAGAGUUGAUCCAAGAUAUCAUUGAAAAGGUUAAGAUCAUCUAAGAGUGUUUAAUGACAACUCGAAGUAGGAAAAAUUUUACUAUAAUCAGAGGUGUCACCCUUAGGGUUCAAUGUGGGAGAGCAUGUAUUCCUACAAGUUUCGCCAAUGUAGCGUGUAUUGUGGUUUGACAAAAAUGGGAAAAUUUGUUCAAAGUUCAUUGGAAUGUUAGAGUUUUGGUAGUGAUUCGAAACUUCUAGCUUAUCACUUUGGCCCUUCGACCAUAUCUUUUGACAGUUCGUACGGUCUUUUAUAUUUCUAUGCUCCGGAAAUACCUUUAUAAUCCUUUCAUGUGAUUAGUCAUGAUUAGAUGAGAACUUGUCAUACACCGAACACCCGAUAACAUUAGUAGAUAAGGAAGUUACACAAUUACGUUCAAAGGAUAUUGCUUCAGUGAAGGUCCUUUGGAAAGGAUCGUCGGCUGAAGAAUCAACUUGGGAGUCGGAAGAGAUCAUGCGAGCAGAGUAUCCACACUUAUUUGAAAAUCAAGGUUAGUAGUAUAAAUUCGAGGACGAAUUUCUUUAAGGAGGGAAGACUGAAACGCACCGUUUAAUAUUUAUUUAAAAAAAAACAUUAUAAAAUAAAAUGAAAAUCCCCUUUAAAAAAAAUAAUAGUAAUAAAUAAAUAAAAAAAUAGAUUAACACGAACCCACCGCCAUUGUUUUGUCUUACGUUUCCAUUUCUUCUUUCACUUUCCAUUUCUAAGCUUCAGUUUCAUCAACACCCCACUUUCAAUUUACUUCUUUCUUUCCUAUUUUCUUUUAAAUCAUCAAUUUUCUUCCACAAACAAAACACCCACAAGAAAAACUAUACAUCUAAGCUAAGCUAUUCAUAAUACAAGUGAGAUUUAGUGUUUUGGGGUUAGGGUUUGUGCUUUGAAGAAGAAGAAGAAGAAGAAUACCCAUUUUGUGAAAGUUGCUCAUUAAGAUUCUUUGAGAUAUUACGCUGGAAUCUUCACAUGCUUCUCUGGGAGUUGUUGGAGAGCAAAAUUAGUCGGUCUUCAUAGUUAUUCAAAGUCAACUGAAUAGAAAGCUUCUAGCAGAGUUAAAGAUCUGUCAAUGUCACUCUUUUGGUAGGCCUUCUUGAUGAAAAACUAUUUUGUAUAUGUAUAUUUGGAGUUGAUCGAGUAUCUGCAGCUAUUUUGAGUCUAGGAAUAUCUUGUUUUGAAAUGUAUAAAUUUAAACAUCUCAAAAGUCUAGCUGAUGAUGUAUCAUGUAAAACAGGAUUUAUUCUGAUUUGGAAACAUUGAAAAUACAGAUGAGACUUUGUCGAAAUUUCAGUAAAAUUGUUCUAAAGUAAAUAGUCAUUUGGAAAUAAUAUAUUUAUUGUUUGUUAAAUUCGGUCAUUAGGCUUGCCGGACUAGUAUUAGUCCGUGCGCCGGUCACGA